rnacentral:rRNA from 1 species
UACGUAGGGAGCAAGCGUUAUCCGGAUUUAUUGGGCGUAAAGAGUUUGUAGGCGGUUUGUUAAGUCUAAGAUUAAAGCCCGAGGCUUAACCUCGGUUCGUUUUAGAUACUGGCAGACUUGAGUGUGGUAGAGGCAAGUGGAAUUCCUAGUGUAGCGGUGGAAUGCGUAGAUAUUAGGAGGAACACCAGUGGCGAAGGCGGCUUGCUGGGCCAUUACUGACGCUGAGAAACGAAAGCGUGGGGAGC